rnacentral:rRNA from 1 species
CCUACGGGAGGCAGCAGUGAGGAAUAUUGGUCAAUGGGCGAGAGCCUGAUCCAGCCAAGUCGCGUGAGGGAGUACUGCCCUCGGGGUUGUAAACCUCUUCUGUCGGGGAGCAAAAGCCGGACGUGUCCGGCUGGGAGAGUACCCGAAGAAAAAGCAUAGGCUAACUCCGUGCAAGCAGCCGCGGUAAUACGGAGGAGGCGGGCGUUAUCGGGAUUCAGUGGGGUUAAAGGGUGCGCAGAGGGAUUUUUAAGUCAACGGUAAAAUCGUGGGGCUCAACCCCAUCCAGCCGUUGAAACUGGGGAGCUAGAGUGUGCGAGAGGGAUGUGGAAUGCGAGGUGUAGCGGUGAAAUGCAUAGAGAUCACGCAGAACCCCGAUUGCGAAGGCAGCAUAUCGGUGCACAACUGACGCUCAGGCACGAAAGCGUGGGGAUCGAACAGGAUUAGAUACCCUUGUAGUC